AUACGGAGGGUGCAAGCGUUAUCCGGAUUCAUUGGGUUUAAAGGGUGCGCAGGCGGAUAAUUAAGUCAGUGGUGAAAUCCCGGGGCUCAACCCCGGAACUGCCAUUGAUACUGAUAAUCUGGAAUACGGUUGAAGUGGGCGGAAUGUAGCAUGUAGCGGUGAAAUGCAUAGAGAUGCUACAGAACACCGAUCGCGAAGGCAGCUCACUAAACCGAUAUUGACGCUCAGGCACGAAAGCGUGGGGAGCGAACAGGAUUAGAAACCCGGGUAGUCC
rnacentral:rRNA from 1 species